rnacentral:tRNA from 1 species
ACCUGUCUGGCUUACUCUGUAGAGCAUGUGACUCUGAAUCUCAGGGCUGUGGGUUUGAGCCUCAUGUUGGGCA